rnacentral:rRNA from 1 species
GGGAUAACGCUGGCGGCAUGCCUUCACAUGCAGUCGAGCGGUACUUUUCGUUCGGCUUUUUCUUGCGGCGUACUGGUGGGGAACAGGUUUGCGACUGGCCUUUAUCUGGGGGAAAGUCUUUCCAAAGGAAGAUUAGUACCCUAUUACCUCAUGUAUGUGAUCUCUGGGUGUUGAUCAUUCUGGUGGAUAGGACUGGGCACCCUGAAGAUUAUUGAGGUGGUGAGGUAACGGCUCACCAAUGCCAAGAUCUUGAGGGGGCCUGAGAGGGUGAUCCCCCUCACUGGAACUGAUACUCGGCCCAAACUCCUACGAGAGGCAGCACUGACGAAUAUUGGAGGAUGCGUGAUAGACUGAUCCAGCCAGCCCGAGUGAAUGAUGACGGCCCUCCGGGUGGGGAACUUUUGUCGUCGGAUUGUAAACCUACGUUCCUGGGGAUAGCUGACUGUACUAUACUAAUACACAGCCGCUAUUACCCCGCCGAGCACCCCGGUACUAAAUCUGUGCCAGCCGCCGCGGUA